UAAGGAAUAUUGGUCAAUGGACGCAAGUCUGAACCAGCCAUGCCGCGUGAAGGAUUAAGGUCCUCUGGAUUGUAAACUUCUUUUAUAUGGGACGAAAAAAGGGUAUUCUUAUCCGUCUGACGGUACCAUAUGAAUAAGCACCGGCUAACUCC
rnacentral:rRNA from 1 species